rnacentral:rRNA from 1 species
UGUAGCUUGACAUUGGGUCUUGGUACUACAUGUACAGGAUAGGUGGGAGGCUUUGAAACCAGGAGGCAACUUUUGGCGGAGCCAUCCUGGGGAUACCACCCUGGUAGUACUGGGACUCUAACCAUAGGCCAUGAAGCUGGUCUUGGGACACUGUCAGGUGGGCAGUUUGACUGGGGAGGUCGCCUCCCAAAAGGUAACGGAGGCGCUCAAAGGUUCUCUCAGUACGGUCGGAAAUCGUACGUAGAGUGUAAAGGCAAAAGAGAGCUUGAUUGCAAGACAUACAGGUCGAGCAAGGAUGAAAAUCGGACUUAGUGAUCCGGUGGUUCUGCGUGGAAGGGCCAUCGCUCAACGGAUAAAAGCUACCCUGGGGAUAA